CACGUAGGGUGCGAGCGUUGUCCGGAAUUAUUGGGCGUAAAGAGCUCGUAGGCGGUGUGUCGCGUCGGCCGUGAAAACCUGCAGCUUAACUGUGGGCUUGCGGUCGAUACGGGCAUCACUGGAGUUCGGCAGGGGAGACUGGAAUUCCUGGUGUAGCGGUGAAAUGCGCAGAUAUCAGGAGGAACACCGGUGGCGAAGGCGGUGCUCUGGGCCAGUACUGACGCUGAGGAGCGAAAGCGUGGGGAGCGAACAGG
rnacentral:rRNA from 1 species